CAGCAGCCGCGGUAAUACGGAGGAUCCAAGCGUUAUCCGGAAUCAUUGGGUUUAAAGGGUCCGUAGGCGGUUUAGUAAGUCAGUGGUGAAAGCCCAUCGCUCAACGGUGGAACGGCCAUUGAUACUGCUAAACUUGAAUUAUUAGGAAGUAACUAGAAUAUGUAGUGUAGCGGUGAAAUGCUUAGAGAUUACAUGGAAUACCAAUUGCGAAGGCAGGUUACUACUAAUGGAUUGACGCUGAUGGACGAAAGCGUGGGUAGCGAACAGGAUUAGAUACCCUGGUAGUCCACGCCGUAAACGAUGGAUACUAGCUGUUGGGAGCAAUCUCAGUGGCUAAGCGAAAGUGAUAAGUAUCCCACCUGGGGAGUACGUUCGCAAGAGUGAAACUCAAAGGAAUUGACGG
rnacentral:rRNA from 1 species